rnacentral:rRNA from 1 species
AUUAGGAAUCUUGCGCAAUGGGCGAAAGCCUGACGCAGCGACGCCGCGUGGAGGACGAAGUCCCUCGGGAUGUAAACUCCUUUUCGGAGGGAAGAAGAAUGUGACGGUACCUCCGGAAUAAGCCCCGGCUAACUACGUGCCAGCAGCCGCGGUAAUACGUAGGGGGCGAGCGUUGUCCGAAUUUACUGGGCGUAAAGCGCGCGUAGGCGGGCUUGUAAGUGGGAAGUGAAAGGCUGGGGCUCAACCCCAGUAGUGCUUCUCAUACUGCAGGUCUUGAGGGCGGUAGGGAGAAGUGGAAUGGCUGGUGUAGCGGUGAAAUGCGUAGAUAUCAGUCGGAACACCGGUGGCGAAGGCGGCUUCUUGGGCCGUUCCUGACGCUGAGGCGCGAAAGCCAGGGUAGCGAACGGGAUUAGAAACCCCAGUAGUCC